CAAAGAGAAUAUCAAGCUCUAUGAAACAAUCACUAGCUAAAAUGUUUCUUGCUACCGCUGAGUCUUUCAUUCAUGCUGGGGUGGAUAGAUGGGGUGUUGCUGCUGCUGAUACAAGGAAAAUGGUGGAGGCUAGAGUUAGGAAGGUUCCUGCCUGCAGUUUGAUUGAUUGCAUAUGAAACAGGAGUUUAUUCACUUGAAUUUUGCUCUUGAGAAAUAACAAUGACAGCAUAUUGAAAUCACAAGGCAAAGCUCAAAGCUUAACCUUCUGUUUCUCCUUCUAUGAGUGGGUUCUGGACUUCAUGUUGAUACUUCUGUCACAAAAUGCAGUUCGUGGUGCCGAAUUUCACCAUAGCAUGUAUUUUAGUGUGUACCAUAAUAGGUGUUUGUAUCUUGCACAUAGCCUUCUCGUUUCAUUGUGUCGGUCAUGGCUGAGUAUUAUUUUUGUAAUGCACAUGGUGUUAAAAACUAGUGACAGCAGCUGAAGAAAUCUCGUUUCCAUUUGUGUUGCUAGUGAUGAUGCUCCGCAGUCUGUCUUCUCCUCUGCCAAGCUUAUUCAGAAGCUUUCAUUAAAUCUGUAAACUUUGUAUUCAAAGAUACAAAGAGGCUUUCUUUGUAGCUUCAUGCUCA